AAGAAGCGAAGCGGUGACGUGGAGGCAAACCUCAGAAAGCCAAUCUCAGUUCGGAUUGUAGGCUGCAACUCGCCUACAUGAAGUUGGAAUCGCUAGUAAUCGCGAAUCAGAAUGUCGCGGUGAAUACGUUCCCGGGUCUUGUACACACCGCCCGUCACACCACGAGAGUUUACAACACCCGAAGUCAGUGGCCUAACCGCAAGGAGGGAGCUGCCUAAGGUGGGGUAGAUGAUUGGGGUGAAGUCGUAACAAGGUAAC
rnacentral:rRNA from 1 species